ensembl:lncRNA
AUCCAGUCUAUCAGAGGGACUUCAUGUAUCACAAUGCUGCAAACUACUGCUGAUAUUCAAAAGUACAGUAGAGUCUCGCUUAUCCAAGCUAAACGGGCUGGCAGAAGCUUGGAUAAGCGAAUAUCUUGGAUAAUAAGGAGGGAUUAAGGAAAAGCCUAUUAAACAUCAAAUUAGGUUAUGAUUAUACAAAUUAAGCACCAAAACAUCAUGUUAUACACCAAAUUUGACAGAAAAAGUAGUUCAAUGCACAGUAAUGUUAUGUUGUAAUUACUGUAUUUACUAAUUUAGCACCAAAAUAUCACAAUAUAUUGAAAAAAUUGACUACAAAAAUGGCUUGGAUAAUCCAGAAACUUGGAUAAGCGAGGCUUGGAUAAGUGAGACUCUACUGUAAUUCUAUAUGAUGAACUUACACUCCCUAUAACUAAAAUGAUUUCUUCUUGAAGCAAGAAUGGCCAAAUUAUCUCUCAUUGUAUUACACUGAUAAGGUAAAUUAGUUAUGCUUGGUUAUUGAAAAAGAAAUUAGUUAUAAGUAUCUCAUUGUUUGUAGCAUGUUAUUUCCAAAAAAGGCUACCAGGUAGUGAGGCCAUAAGGUAAUUUGAUGGUAGUUAUACAACUGCAUUUCUGUUCCUGCCUGUUUUUUCUCCCUUGUUCCUCUGCACCUCAUCUAACACAGGUGAAUGCAGUUUGUGUUUAUGUGUUUUGAUUGUUCUGUGGCCCAGCUCGAGCCGCGAGGAGAGGUGGGUAAGAAAUUGAAUUAUUCUUAUUAUUUCUAUUAUUACCAUUAUUAUUCCUCUGAGGCCGUAAAAAUGUGACUUGCUCAAUGGGUCUGUGUGACUAAGCAGGGAUAUGAACCAUAGUCUUCCACAGCCCUAGUCAAACACUAUACUAUGUAAUCUUUUGGAAAAUGGCAUUCACAACCAUUUGGAGUUCAUAACCUUUUGGAUAAGUUUGAUCUUUCAGAGAAGAGCCAAAAACCCAUUUGAGUAGAAUCUUCUCAUAUGGUAUACAACCAAAUGUAAUAUGCAACACAAUGGCUUCAGUUGUUAGACUGAACCUAUUGUCUCUGAUCUGUUAGGAACAGAGAAUAUAGCAGUGCAUAGAAGCAGCAGAGUUUCAGAGGUGUUUUUCAGUGCCCGAAAUAUAUCUACUCUCCCAUAAAACAACUAGUUUUAUAUAAUGCACUCAAGAGACAGCAAUGAAAUAGUCUUUGGUUUAUUAAUAUCAUAUUUGGUUUAUUCACAACUUCAUGUGUUCAGCAUAACACAGUUACAUAGCUUAUCAGUUCGGUUUCAGAUAUAUUUAAGAUAGUUUCUCUAUGCAGAUGACAUAAGGCAUCUUUCUUACAGCAUCAAGCAAGCAAGAGUUGGUCUCAGCAGUCCAAAGUCUAAGAAAGAUCUAAAAUGGCAUCUGAGGUCUGAGCAGUCUCAGAUCAGAUCACGUGGUCUGCAGCCCCUCCCACAACCUCUCAGAAAACAUAGAGCAAGAGAAGCUUCAUAUCAGAACAUAUAUAUAAAACAGUAAACAAACAGAAUCAUAGAUUAACAAAUUACUAGAGGAGGCUUGAAGAAGGUUCUAAUUUCCAACAUAAUCUGUUGUUACAUUUUAUCCAUUGUAUGGUCUCAGAUAUAUGAAAUAUAACUGCGUAUAAUUUCAUAUAAAUGUGAAUAAGUAAAAUAAGUUUAAAGCAAGAAAUAGGACUGGGGAGGGGCACCAUAAAGGAGCAGAGAUGUUUAGAUGAGAAAGGAAAUACCUCAGGUUUGUGUGGGUGCCAUGACCUCCUUUCCUGGUGUUGUGGGGAACCAUGAAAGUAGGUCUUGCCUUGGCCUAUAGCACACCUGAAUCAAGGGAGAGCUGGCCAGGAUGGAGGGUCUCUAUAGAAACGGAGCAGUGAAGGGUAGGACCAGGGUGAGGGAUAUGUGGAGAUGAGAGGGAAAGCAACUUUCAGAUAGAACUUUGCUUGUAACCAUACUGUAUGAUUUGAGAAAUAAAAGCCUUCCAGUCCGCCUAUGAGGUAAUUUCUUCUUUAGAGAGCUGCAGAGCAGCACAGUGGGGUUAAUAUAACUGCAGUUGCUUCCAGCUUUAUCUAUAUAUAUAUAAAUGUAAUGUUCGUUUUACUAUGGAGUAACCAACAAAACCACUGAACCAAAUCACACCAAAUGUGGCCAGAAAAGACAGUCAUCCAAAAUAUGUCUUUCAAUUAAAAAAAAACCUAGAAAAAUAGUCCAAAUUACAGAGGAUGAGGAAGAGCCUUUCUCCCCCUAACUGCCAAUUAGAAAGGUAGGCUCUGCUGCCUUUAGCCCCCCCCCCCCUUUUGCUGGUUUAAGCCCUGCCCGCUUCGUAUCCUAUCAACUUCCUCAGCCAAAAUGGCACCCAGGGCAGAGGCCGAGUGCACUUAGGCCUGAUCCACACUGCCUAUAAAAUGCAGAUUAUCUGAUUUGAACUGGAUUAUAUGGCAGUGUAGACUCAAGGUCCUUCCACACAGCUAUAUUACCCAUUUAUAAUCUUAUAUGAUCUACUUUGGACUGGAUUAUCUUGAGUCCACACUGCCAUAUAAUCCACUUCAGUGUGGAUUUUAUACAGCUGUGUAGAAGGGGCCUCAUAUAAUCUACUUCUAAGCAGAUAAUAUAAGGUUAUAAAUAUAAUAUGAAAUCAUUACUGUGGUAUAAUAAUACAGAACAAUAUAAUCUCUAAAACCAGGACAAUAAAUAAAGAGCUACACUCUGAAAGCAGGGAAAUUGGGAAUUCCAGAAAGGAAACAAUCAGGGCCAGCUAACACUUCCCAACAAAGGAUUCCUCCCAGGCAGGAAGCAGCCAAGCUUUGAAGCUGCAAGGCCAUUAAAUGCUAAUCAAGGUGGCUAAUUGCAGCAUUCAUACCUGCCAUACUGAGACUAUUAAUUGCUAUUCAAACUGGCCAACCAAGGAUUCUGCAAGGUAGAAAGCGGCCAGGCUUGUAAGCAGCAAGGCUAUUCAGUGCUCUUCAACCUGACCAACCAAGAUUUCCCCUAGGUGAAAAAUCCCCAGGCUUUGAAGCCACUAGGCUACUUUGUCCCAUUCAACCUGGCCUAGCAAAGAUGCCCUAUGUAGAAAGCAGCCAGGCUUUUAAGCUGCAAGUCUAUUCAGUGCAAUUCAAGCUGCCCAAACAAUGAUUCCCCUACAAAGGAAGUAGCCAGGCUUCAAAGCGGCGCUUUGAUUGAGGGUGCUACUCCAGCUACUCUAGAAAACGGCCAGGCUUUGAGACUGCAAGGCUAUUUACUGCUAUUCCACCUGGCCAUCAAAUGAUUCCCAUAAGCCACAGCAACGCAUGGUCAGGCAAAGCUAAUAAUAAAUAAAAGUUCUUACUAGA